rnacentral:lncRNA from 1 species
AUUCUAUAAUUUUUUGAGUCUAAAAGUUAAUAAUCUUAAGACCCAACACAUGUCAAUUUUAAAGCUAAUCCAUGAAUACCAAAAAAAGAUACCUUAUGCCUUAAAGGUAGAAGUUUUUAUAUGCAAAUGGAAAUAAAAGUUUUACAGGAAGGCUUUUGAUUCAAUCAAUAAUAGUAGUAAGUCCAAAUAUUGGUCUUUUAAAGAGAAGUGGAAUGUGAGUUUUUUUAUAAAAAAUCAUACAUUAUAAGGAUAAAGUACAAGAAAAUUAAGUUUAUGUCAAUACUAGCUAUAAUAGCCUUAAACCUCGAUCAAAUAAAAAUUAUUAU